rnacentral:rRNA from 1 species
UGGGGAAUUUUCCGCAAUGGGCGAAAGCCUGACGGAGCAAUGCCGCGUGGAGGUGGAAGGCCUACGGGUCGUCAACUUCUUUUCUCGGAGAAGAAACAAUGACGGUAUCUGUGGAAUAAGCAUCGGCUAACUCUGUGCCAG